rnacentral:rRNA from 1 species
AUGAUACUUGUGUUCUUUGCCAGACUCUCACACAUGAGGAUCGAGCACAUAUGUUCUUUGUUUUUAACUUCGGCCAGUUGGAAAUAUCUUGGGAUUACUUGGGCAUCACAACCAAAUCAAUCAACCUAUUUGAUGGCGGCAGUAGCAAGGAAGGGUUUUCAUAGACCCUUCUUUAUUGAGGUGGUUUUUACUGCCACUUGUAACAUCUGGACUCGGAGGAACGGCAAAAUCUUCAAAAAUGAGAGGCCAAGUUUUGGGGCUUGGACAAGAAACUUUGUACAUUAUCUGUCUCUGUUAGCUCAUAGAAACAAAUGUAAAUAUAGGGAUAGCCUUCUAUCUUGGAUCUCUUCUCUUCCAUAG